AUGGAUAUGGAGGAAACCAAGCCAGAGCCAGUUCUGAGGUCUCAGCUGCUUGAUGCACAGUGGAGUCCAAGCGCGUGGGGUCCGUCAAACUCCCUUCUUCAGCAUCAAGCCUCUCGAACAAAUCCUUCUCCAAUUUCUAUUGCAAGCUCCUUCCUCCUAUUCAUUUUCCACUUCUUCGACAUCAAUUCAGCUCCGAAAGGCUAUUUCUCGCACCAUGCAAUUUGCAGAUUACUUGUAUUCGUAUAG